GCUGAUUCCCGGGAUAGUCGUCGUCUCCCGCUCCUCCUCCCGGAUCCUCCGGAGCGUCAUUCCAACCUUUUCACCAUGUAGGGCCCUUCCAGCUCGUAGCCGAUCUUCCUGUAGUAAUUCCUCGUGCCGACACCUGGGAGAAGAGAGGGACAACACGGAUGAAUCCCGUGGGAUAGCAAAAGGACUGGAGGAGCUGGAGCAGGGCAGUCGCUUCCAGGCGGGAAUGGCGCGCUGGAAGGCGCAGCCGGCGGGAGCCGGAGCGGGGGCGGACUAAUUAGGGCACUAAUUGGGGUGAUUUUCCGGCAGGAACAGCCGCUCCUUUGUCUGGAGAAGGAGAGGGAACACUUGGAUCCAGGAUCCAACAAAACCCCUGGCACAGCUGUGGGAUCGUUGCCGGGAGCUGAAGGGCCCGACAGCCCCCGGAGCCACUUCCAAGGGCUCCCGGGAAAGUGGGAUCCAAUUUCCUCAUCCCGCUCUCCCAAGGCCUCUUCCCUCUCCUGCUGCCAUCAGGAGACCCCACGGAGGGCACGGGAUCCAGCGCUUCCCGGGAUUCUGGGGUAUGGCAGCAGGAUUUGGGGUAAACCAGUAGGAUUUUGGGAUAGAACUGGAAUUUGGGGCAAAACACCGGGAUUUUAGGGUAAACCAGCAGGAUUUUGGGGGUAAAACAGUAGGAUUUUGGGGUAAAACACCAGGAUUUUAGGGUAAAGCAGCAGGAUUUUGGGUAAAAAUGGGAUUUUAGGGUAAACCAACAGGAUUUGGGGUAAAACUGAGAUAUGGGGCAAAAGAGCUGGAUUUUGGAGUAAAGCAGCAGGAUUUGGGAUAAAACUGGGAUUUUAGGGGUAAAACACCAGGAUUUUAGGGUAAAGCAGAAGGAUUUGGGGGUAAAGCAGCAGGAUUUUGGAGUGAAGCAGCAGGAUCUGGGGUAAAACUGGGAUUUUAGGUCCCUUCCAACCCAACCCAUGCCAUAGUUCCUUUCUGAUUCCAAGGAAGCAGAAACAGGUGACAAGAACUCUUUCCUGAUAAUUAAUUAUUAGGAAUAUUAUUAAGAAUUAAUAAUUCUCAAGGACUGACGAACAGGUUUCGAGCAGAGGAAGGAAGGAGAGGAGUUCUGAUCCCCCCUGCCUGGAUGGGAAUCCAUGGGAAAGCCUUUUGGGAUCGUCCCUCAUCACAACGGUCUGACCCAGAAGGGGCCACGGCAGAAUCCGGCCCAGGAAUCCCCCUCCUGACAGGCCUGGCUUUUCACUGGAAUAUUUACACCUCAACAUUAAUUAAAUAAAUAUUUUAAGCCUG